GGCGGGAAAAUGUAAUGAUCAGGAAGGUGGUUUCUCCAGGGUAAGGCUUAUCCACUGUACUUUGGCUGUGCUGACCCCAGCAAUUUCCCCAAAUAUGGGAAAUUUGGUUGCAUGAUUUGUUGAAGAGGGGAACUGCAUUCAUACUUUUUGGAGUCUUCUU